GGGCCUGUAGUUCAUGCGGUAGAACAGCGCCCUUGACAAGCGCAGAAACGGGUUCAAACCCCGUCGGGUCCA
rfam:Parcubacteria (Giovannonibacteria) bacterium GW2011_GWA1_44_25 TW53_C0031, whole genome shotgun sequence.